rnacentral:rRNA from 1 species
GACGAACGCUGGCGGCGUGCCUAAUACAUGCAAGUAGAACGCUGAAGGAGGAGCUUGCUUCUCUGGAUGAGUUGCGAACGGGUGAGUAACGCGUAGGUAACCUGCCUGGUAGCGGGGGAUAACUAUUGGAAACGAUAGCUAAUACCGCAUAAGAGUAGAUGUUGCAUGACAUUUACUUAAAAGGUGCAAUUGCAUCACUACCAGAUGGACCUGCGUUGUAUUAGCUAGUUGGUGAGGUAACGGCUCACCAAGGCAACGAUACAUAGCCGACCUGAGAGGGUGAUCGGCCACACUGGGACUGAGACACGGCCCAGACUCCUACGGGAGGCAGCAGUAGGGAACCUUCGGCAAUGGACGGAAGUCUGACCGAGCAACGCCGCGUGAGUGAAGAAGGUUUUCGGAUCGUAAAGCUCUGUUGUAAGAGAAGAACGAGUGUGAGAGUGGAAAGUUCACACUGUGACGGUAUCUUACCAGAAAGGGACGGCUAACUACGUG